rnacentral:rRNA from 1 species
UACGUAGGGCGCAAGCGUUAUCCGGAAUUAUUGAGCGUAAAGAGCUCGUAGGCGGUUUGUCGCGUCUGCCGUGAAAGUCCGGGGCUCAACUCCGGAUCUGCGGUGGGUACGGGCAGACUAGAGUGAUGUAGGGGAGACUGGAAUUCCUGGUGUAGCGGUGAAAUGCGCAGAUAUCAGGAGGAACACCGAUGGCGAAGGCAGGUCUCUGGGCAUUAACUGACACUGAGGAGCGAAAGCAUGGGGAGCGAACAGG